UACGUAUGUUGCGAGCGUUAUCCGGAAUCAUUGGGCUUAAAGGGCAUCUAGGCGGUAAGACAAGUUGAAGGUGAAAACCUGUGGCUCAACCAUAGGCUUGCCUACAAAACUGUUGAACUAGAGUACUGGAAAGGUGGGUGGAACUACACGAGUAGAGGUGAAAUUCGUAGAUAUGUGUAGGAAUGCCGAUGAUGAAGAUAACUCACUGGACAGAAACUGACGCUGAAGUGCGAAAGCUAGGGGAGCAAACAGGAUUAGAUACCCUGGUAGUC
rnacentral:rRNA from 1 species